rnacentral:tRNA from 1 species
GCGGAUGUGGCGAAAUUGGCAGACGCACCAGAUUUAGGUUCUGGCGCCGCAAGGCGUGAAGGUUCAAGUCCUUUCAUCCGCACCA